GCGUGAGGCUGUACAGUUUUCCGUCAAAGCCUUGGGAGAAGUCACGAAGGCAAAAAUGGAUUAUCGCCGUGCGACGAGUCAAUUUUGAGGACUCCUCUAGCUGGCAGCCUAAUCGAGAUUCGAGGGUGUGUUCCAAACAUUUUGUGAAUGGCGAGAAAAGCACAAUUGAAAGCCACCCAGGUUAUGUACCAACAAUAUUCCCGACCGUGUACAAGAAGAGGUCCACUUCAUCUACUGCUCAGCUGGCUAGAUUUAAUAGGUGGAAGCAGCGGCACUCUGGGUCAUCUGCAUCACUGGCUACUCCUGCAUCAGCUGAUUCCCCUGGACCAGCUUCUCCCUACACAGCUGAGACAGGAGCCAUUGGUACCAGCAGC
rnacentral:lncRNA from 1 species